GCCUCUGCAGUUCAGUUGGUCAGAGCGCUGCACCGGAAUCGCAGGGUUGCAGGUUCCAUUCCUGCCAGGGACC